ensembl:lncRNA
AUGUCUGUGGGAUCAUUAUCUGCAGAACUCCCACAAGAACUUCGUAAAGGGCAGAAGAAGAGGGCCGAGCUGCAGCUCUGCAACAGGGAGAGGAGGUCCAACGCGGACGAGGAGGAACCGGGACCGCCGCACAUUAAAGAGGAAGAGGAGGAACUGUGCACCAGCCAGGAUGCAGAGCAGUUUGUGGUGAAGCAGGAGAAUGGGUCGCUUUUGCUUCUUCAGUUCAAACCCAAAUCUGAAGAACUAUUUGAGGUUUCAGAAGGCAGCCUGGUCCCGUCUGAGGAGGAGAUGGACGGUCAGUACAGAGCGCUGGACGCUGCCUGGAGGCCGCGAGGAAAGCUGCGUAGAAUCGAGGAAACCGAGCCGGACACGGGGCCCGCUGCGGCGGAUGAGGAAGACUCCGAGGCCUCUUCGGCCUCCCAGCCGGCCCCGGCCCAGGAGAUGAAGAAGAGGAAGAAGGUGGCCACCGCCGCCGAUGGGGACAGACAGUACCCCUGGGGGGAUGGACACCAAGAUACAAUGGCGCGCUUUUGGCUGACACACCCGAUCUUCUACGAUAAAGCCCAACAGCACUACAAAAACAAAGAAAUGAGGAAGCAGCUCAUGCAGGACUUGAUUCAAAAGAACCACAAGGAGUGGGAGAAGAUCCUCACCCCCCUGCCCACCGUGGUCCAAGUGGAUGCACAUUUGCGCAACAUGCGAACCAGAUUUGUGAAGCUGCUAAAGCGUAAAUCUGCUGCCCCCGCGCUGACGUUGUCCUACAAGGAUCAGAAGAUCUGGGAGCGCUACCAGUUCCUGCGUCCGUACAUUCAGCGCAACCGGACAACAGCAACACACUGUAUUCCUGGCGUGCAGUCCAGAGGGGACGCUGCUGAGGAUGACAUUGAUGAAGAUCCCAGUCUUCAAUUGAGUCAGCGGGUCGAAUUGGGCGGUCAGCCCUCCAGCUCUCAGACGCCGCCAAAAGGGAAAGGAAAGGUCAUAAACAGAAGACCUCUCACUUCGCCUACGCCAUCUACUGGUCCAGACAGCGAGGACGUGUCUGAGAUGGAGCAAAUACUGCAGCAGGCCAAGGACCUGAUCUCGAGCAUCAGGGCUCCAUCGCGCAGUGAGCAUGAGAGGAGGGUCAGGGACUUCAGCAGGUAUAUGGAGUCAGAGAUGCUUCUAAUACCAGAGUCCUUAUGGGACGAGUGCAGCUUCUCCAUCAUGAACGUGAUCCGAGGCUUCAAGACGGCUCAGAAGCAGGGACACCUGGCCCUGUCGCAGCAUCAAGCCUACCAGCAGGUGAACCAAUGCACCGUUAUUCUCUCUAUGACGAAAUAUUGCUUUCCUAACUGAUUCUUAAGAUUGUUGAUUAGUUUUCAGUACUAAACAUUAUUUGGAUAAAUCUAAGAUCUAAGCUUGGAUCUUAGGGAAGAAAGUAACCUAGUAAUAAAAAAAUGUAACCCCUUAUUUCCCUUCCACGACAAAAAAACUCCCAAAGUGCAAAAAUCUCUUAAAAGCCACUUAACCCUUGUGCUAUCCUAGGCACUUAAACAUUGGGAGUUGGGUCAUCUAUACUUUUUGGACGAUUUUGGAUGAAAAUGGAAUAAUCAUAAUUAAAAGAACAUUUAAUUAUAGAAGAAAAGAACAUUUUGAGAAUAGUUCAAAGGAUGAUUGGAGUGGGACUUUAAGGCAACUGUUAUUUGGGGUCAAAUCUGCUUCAUUUACCAAAAUAAAACCUCCAUGCUAGCAAAGUUAGCUAAAAACCAAAAUCUUUGGAAAGUGUUUAUGUGUAGAAAAGAGCAAACACGAACACAGAGAGAAAGCAGGAGUCUUUACUCAAAAUAUGGAUUUAUUGGGACAGCUCCACUCCACAUAAUGUGCGGCGACAAACUAAUGUAAUGAAGAUACUGCUAAUAUAGUUUCAACUAGGGUGGAUUCAGGUUUAUUAUUAUAGUUUUUGUGACACCUUGACAGUCAGACGAGGCUGUAUUUAGCAUCAGGUGUUUAGUUAAGGGAAAAUCUAAACCGCAUUUUAAUGGGUCCUACACAAAAUCUAGUGUACAAUUAGAGUUUAAACUGUCUGCAGAUAUUUUACAGAGAGUGAAAAUAAACUUUUUCCUUAAAAGUGAAGGAAAACGGAUGCUAUAAAGAUGGGAUGCCCCCCUUAGCCUCGUCCAUGCAACGGAUACCCAAAUGAUGAGUGGGGACUUUCUCACUGUACAUCUGCUAAAAAGAACUGUAGUAGCUCGAGAGCAAACUUAACGUUCCUAUUUCUAACCCAAUUUUUUACAGAGUUAUGGGAGCCAGCCGUACCAGCAGCCACAGGGGGGGUAUUCCACACAGACUGGCAGCUUGCAGCCUCAUAGUGGUACCUUCCAGAAUCACCAGCAACCGGGCACUUUCCACCAACAGAGUGGGACCUUUCAGUAGCUGCAGCCGCUGCUGGAUCGGACAUGCUGCCCACCGUGGUCAGCAGUUCUGUUUGGACGCCAGCUGGAGCAAACGCUUGUGGACUUUGGCGUUCAUCCCGUGAGGAAGAGGAAGUCUACGGCUGGAAUCGCCAAAUGUGUUGCCAACCCCAACAGCUGCUAAGUGGGCAGAGUUGAGCAGGACUCAGACUUGCUUUGUAAUUUUUUUUACAGCUUAUCUAUUUGUACGCACUGUUUGCACUUAAAAAAUAAAGUGUGCAUUGAAGUGAGGAGCUGACGCCUGGACGGUCUCGUGCUUUUACCUCACCAGGUUUCCCACAAGGACACAGUCUCCUCACCGUUGUAUUA